AGCGCAGGCGGAUUAGUAAGUCAGUGGUGAAAGCCUUGAGCUUAACUCGAGAACUGCCAUUGAUACUAUUAGUCUUGAAUGUUGUUGAGGUUUGCGGAAUGGGUCAUGUAGCGGUGAAAUGCAUAGAUAUGACCCGGAACACCUAUUGCGAAGGCAGCAGGCUAAACAAAUAUUGACGCUGAGGCUCGAAAGCGUGGGGAUCAAACAGGAUUAGAUACCCUGGUAGUCCACGCCCUAAACGAUGAUUACUCGACAUACGUGAUAUGACAAUGUGUGUCUGAGCGAAAGCAUUAAGUAAUCCACCUGGGAAGUACGACCGCAAGGUUGAA
rnacentral:rRNA from 1 species